rnacentral:rRNA from 1 species
AAGGAUUGACAGAUUGAGAGCUCUUUCUUGAUUUUUCAGGUGGUGGUGCAUGGCCGUUCUUAGUUCGUGGGGUGACUUGUCUGCUUAAUUGCGAUAACGAGCGAGACCUUACUCUGCUAAAUAGCCAGGCUAGCUUUGGCUGGUCGCCGGCUUCUUAGAGAGACUAUCAACUCAAGUUGAUGGAAGUUUGAGGCAAUAACAGGUCUGUGAUGCCCUUAGAUGUUCUGGGCCGCACGCGCGCUACACUGACAGAGCCAACGAGUUCUUUUCCUUGUUCGAAAGAAUUGGGUAAUCUUGUUAAACUCUGUCGUGCUGGGGAUAAAGCAUUGCAAUUAUUGCUUUUCAACGAGGAAUGCCUAGUAAGCGCGUGUCAUCAGCAUGCGUUGAUUACGUCCCUGACCUUUGUACACACCGCCCGUCGCUACUACCGAUUGAAUGGCUCAGUGAGGCCUUCGGACUGGCUCGAGGAGGUUGGCAACGACCACCUCAAGCCGGAAAGUUGGUCAAACUCGGUCAUUUAGAGGAAGUAAAAGUCGUAACAAGGUCUCCGUAGGUGAACCUGCGGAG